rnacentral:rRNA from 1 species
UACGUAGGGACCAAGCGUUGUUCGGAUUUACUGGCGUAAGGGCGCGUAGGCGGCAUGACAAGUCACUUGUGAAAUCUCCGGGCUUAACUCGGAACGGUCAAGUGAUACUGUCGCGCUAGAGGUGCGGAAGGGGCAAUCAGAAUUCUUGGUGUAGCGGUGAAAUGCGUAGAUAUCAAGAGGAAUACCUGAGGUGAAGACGGGUUGCUAGGCCGACACGUGACGCUGGAAGCGACGAAAGCCAGGGGAGCGAAAACAGGG